ACUCAGCGCUGCCGAUCGGAACAUCGGAACACAGGAUGUAUCCAAAGAGGGGAAUCGCAGUCUUAUGUUGCACGUCACUUCACUUCAACGUCGACCACAGCACCAUUUGCCGCCUUUUGGGACCGAUACACCCUGUUCAAUUCCACUUCAGAUCUCCGAGAACCGGCCGACCAAGAGUUACCACCCCUGCACAGGAUCGCUACAUUCGACUGUUCCACCUACGUCAUCGCAAUGCCACAGCUAAAGAGACUGCAGGACGCAUCCCUGGUUUGAGAAGGAUAACGGACCAGACUCCAGCAAAUCGAUCCAUCCCGUGUCUGUAACACCGCCAAGACGUGACUCACCCUUCACUGUCGUUAUCUGGAAAGGAUCGAUCGCUCUUGAUAUGACGAUCAAUGUUCCCACGAGCUUAAUGUUGAUAUAUAUCACAGGAACAAUAGACCGUGUUAAAAAGGGAGACGGUAUCUGAGGACUGUGGUGCUGUAUGGUAAUACAAACAUGUGGCGAACUGUAACAAAGUAUUCACGAUCUCGGUUCCGCUAGACUAUGAGGGGAACACAGAGUAGCGCAAAUCGAUCUAUGACAUUUAAAACCCGAGAGCAGUCAAAUACAACUGGGAGCAGCGGAUCCUGGUGGAAGAUAGGCAACAUCUGAGUCUGAUCCAGCCGUGUCCCUGGUUCAGAAAGAACUCUGUGCAGGCUACAUUAUGUAUUCCAUAUUUAUGUCUUCUGUUUUUUUAUAAUGGAAAUCCAAUAAAACACUUUUAUAUCUAUAUAUACAUUAUACGAUCAAAUGACUCACCACGUCCCAUCCAAAUGUCUCGUCGCAUAUAAUAACAUUCUGAAAACAUGAUAUAAAAAACAUGCUUUGUCAUAAUACCGUUGCGCUCUAGUAGGUUUAUAACAAGCGAGUGUGUUGUUUAUUGAAAACAUUCGUGAGAUCGCAUUCCCUGGGCGUCCUACACAUCAAUAUUGACAUAUAAAUGCCUGUUUUUUCACACAUGUUUGAAUAUUUAUCGAAUAUUAAAAAUGCUUUAAACAUUGCCUCAGGCCUGUGCACGUUACAUUGAAUAAAUGUUUUGUUUGA